rnacentral:rRNA from 1 species
AAUCCGGAUAAUCAAGGCUGAGGUGUGAUGACGAGGCACUACGGUGCUGAAGUAACAAAUGCCCUGCUUCCAGGAAAAGCCUCUAAGCAUCAGGUAACACGAAAUCGUACCCCAAACCGACACAGGUGGUCAGGUAGAGAAUACCAAGGCGCUUGAGAGAACUCGGGUGAAGGAACUAGGCAAAAUGGUGCCGUAACUUCGGGAGAAGGCACGCUGGUGUGUAGGUGAAGCCCCUGCGGGUGGAGCUGAGACCAGUCGAAGAUACCAGCUGGCUGCAACUGUUUAUUAAAAA